rnacentral:lncRNA from 1 species
AAUCCCAGCUUCCCUCCCCACUCCGUCAUGUCCAGCCAAAGAAAAUCAAACCCCAAGCUUCCCACCAAAAUAAAAUCCAAUCUUACAAUCGCACUCACAUACAUAGAGCAAAGGACCAUGAACUCAAACAAUCUGGGUUUGGAUUGAGUUUUUUGUUUUAAAAUUCUUGAUCUGAGUUUUUUUUUUUUUUCGGUGUUUUGAGGCGAUGGAGAAGAGAAUAGGGGGGAGAGAGAGAGAGAGAGAGACGGGGU